rnacentral:rRNA from 1 species
GACGAACGCUGGCGGCGUGCUUAACACAUGCAAGUCGAGCGGUAAGGCCCUUUCGGGGGUACACGAGCGGCGAACGGGUGAGUAACACGUGGGUGACCUGCCCUCAGCUCUGGGAUAAGCCUGGGAAACUGGGUCUAAUACUGGAUAUGACUCCACGGUGCAUGUCGUGGGGUGGAAAGCCUUGUGCGGCUGAGGAUGGGCCCGCGGCCUAUCAGCUUGUUGGUGGGGCGAGGCCUACCAAGGCGACGACGGGUAGCCGGCCUGAGAGGGCGACCGGCCACACUGGGACUGAGACACGGCCCAGACUCCUACGGGAGGCAGCAGUGGGGAAUCUUGCGCAAUGGGCGAAAGCCUGACGCAGCGACGCCGCGUGAGGGAUGACGGCCUGGUGUAAC